ensembl:lncRNA
GAUGACAUGCUUCAGGCCUUCUUUGCAUCUGCGAUGUUAGAUGAGGAUAACAGGAUGUACUGUGAUGACUGCCAUGACAAAACAAUUACAACAAUUGAGCAAAAAAUACAACAGCGUCCAACCAUUAUGGGGCUGCAAAUCAAGCGAUUUGAGUUUAAUUACCAAAUGAUGGAAUGGGUCAAGAACCGUUGCUGCAUCUCCAUUCCAUCUAUUGUACAUUUUGAGGGCUGCAGUUACAGAGUUUAUGGAGUUAUUAACCACAACGGGAGCCUCAAAAGCGGCCAUUACAACGCUUACAUUAAACCACCAAAUGAUGACCAAUGGUACAAAUUUGAUGACAGUUGUGUGCAAAAGCUAAAAAAGGACCAUAUUAAAAGACAUUUUGACAGGACAUCAGAGGCAUACUUAAUUAUGUACUUGAAAUGCCUUCCUCCUCCUGGUCCGAUCCAGUUCACAUCAGUGACAUCAGACUCCGUGUCUCUGUGCUGGGGAACUCCUGAAGGCCUGACUGGGCCUCAGAGAUUCAGAGUGAACUGGAAACAGGAAAGAAAGAGCAUCAUAGUUCCAGUUACAACAAUCACCAUUGAGGGCCUGAGUCCAGGAGAGGAGUAUGAGUUUUCUGUGGCCACCAUAGGUGACAGUGGCAGCCAGAGUCCAUGUGUGGUGGCAUCUAUACAAACAGCUGCAGGAGACCAUGCCAGGAUACUGGGCGCAAAGCCGGGAAAAGGGGAAAAGAGGAAAAGUGAAAGUCAGGGAGGUCCAUGUUGGUCCGAGUCUUUUCCAUGAUGAUGGGUAAAUCAGGGGUGACUCCUGCUCCACAUAUGAGUUCAUAUUAAUGGGGCUGAUAUGGAGCACUUGUGGCAUGUUACCAGGGGAUGGGCAGAGUCACUGUUAUGUAACACUAAAUAGUGUGUGUUUAAAGCGUUCAGUUUAUCUGUAUACAUAUAUAAUGUCAAGGAUGCAUUUACAAAAAAUGACCGGAUGCAUAACAGGUAUGCACAAUCAUACAAUCAGGAACAUGUACAAUAAGCAUGAAACUCCAGCAACAUAUACUCUAUACACUAUAUACACAGUGUAUGUGGCCACAAUUUAAUUCUAUAAACAACAACAACAACAAAAAGUAAAUAUUGUCUGAUAGCAGCAAUUGCCUUUAUUACAUCAAGGUGAUACCCUUAAUUCCAACAACAUUCAAUAGUGUGAAACGCUAGACUCAGGUGAAGCAGCGAGAUGCGUCCCUGAUCAUAGGCCAACAGCAGGUCAUUAACCACUUUAACCAGCGCUUUCUCGGUGCUAUGAUGAGGUCUAAAUCCCAAUUGUUAUACUUCAUGAAUGUUGUUGCUGUCUAGGUUACGCGCUCAGCUGCUGGGCUACGACUUUUUCAAAAAUUUUCGAUGUAAGCGGAAGGUUGGAUAUUGGUCUAUAAUUCGAGAGCUGACUGCAAUCAGCUUUGAUCUGGGGGCAGUUCCUCCAAUCAGUUUCUUUGGCAGGACAAAGGUGUGGUUUAGGGCUGAGGAGACUUAAGGCCUGAGAGCAGCCUUCUGGACUUGUGUACCUUUUGAUGUAAAAAAAAUCUGUCUGGUUGCUUAUAUGAUUCAAGAUGUGAACAUUGAAUUCAGUCAGAAAAGGAACAAUUGUUUCAGAGCCAAAUACCAUAUUAUCUCAUAAAAUAAAAUACCUGAUUUCACACGAUCUACUGAUAUU